rnacentral:lncRNA from 1 species
AUAAGAUAAGUUAUCUUUCAGACAAAAAAAAAAACAAUGCUACCAAAUCUGAAAAAGCACUUCAAGAAAUAAUAUUUUACAAUGGAAGUAGGGGUGGCAGAUAGGGGGGUCGGGUUGAAUUUUGGGCCGGUCAAGAUGAGUUAAGUCAAUAAAUAGGUCAUUGUCCAACCCAACCCAAAGUGUACUUAGGCUAAAAUGGCUUAGUCAAGAGGGGCUAAACAAUGGGUCAUAACCCAACCGUCAAACUUGACCAAUGUUUUAGAACCAUGCUCAUCUUGCAUAAAAAACUUUUACCUUAGAAGAUGUAACUUGAAAAAUAUUUACGAAUGGGGGUGGGGUUGGGGUUGGGAGUUGGGAUGGGUGGGUGGUGCAGAAAAAUAAUUAGAUGGGUGUGGGCUCAAAUUGCCACCCAUAUUUGGAAGGCAUGAAAGGCAAAACUGCCGCCAGAUGACUUUAUGAGACGACUAUGCUAUUGUAUGUCAUCGAGAUAUUGGUGUUGCACUCAGCGGCAAGAAGAAUCAUUGGCUCAUAUAUUCUUCAACUUCAAUGUUAUCUCCAGUGCCUCAUUUAAUGUCACCUCCAGUGCCUCAUUUAAUGUCAUCUCCAAUGCCCCAUUCAGAAGACGAAUCUGAAAGUCCGGCGCAACAAAAUUUUAAUUGUAAUAAGUAUACAUAAAAUAAAAAAUAAGACAGCCAUUUAUUACCUCGUUUCUAGGUAGUUUAUGAUGAUAGUGUGUCUCGGUACUACAUUAUAGAUAGAAAAGAUAAAUUCCAAGUAAUGUUCUAAACAUUUUAAAAAUAUAAAAAUGGCAAAAAAAUUCCACAUACAUGGCAGCUUCAUAAAAAAGUUCCUCUUGAUUGGCUAAUAUAUAGUAUUCACAUUCUUCUUUUCGUUGAAUAUUUGGUCUUCUAUUUUCCAGUCUAUUUUCUGGUGCACUCUAUAUUCUGUUUUUCGAUAUUUCUAUGUAAUUAGGCUACAAACAAUAUUUGCUAAAAGUUCAACCAGUGCAAUUUAUGAUACUUGUGUAGUGUAUAUCAUUGGUUUUUACAAAUUUGGAAGUAGGAAUGGCAAAUGGGCGAGUUGAGUUGAAUUUUGUAACUAAGUGUAUAAAUUUCUCCUAACAUAAUUUUAGUUUAUUGAUAUGAGCUACUGGACUUUCAAGAUAUAAUUAAUGAACAUAUUAAUUUUGUCUUUGAUUUUUAAUCUAGAAGUGCUUCAUUUUCGAUAUCCAGGUGGCACAUUAUUGAGUUAGUAUGACACUAUGACUUACUUUUUCCGGUCCAAAAUAAGUAAAUUUUUAGUUGUUUUCACACAGAUUAAAAAAAUUAUCUUUUAAUAUUAAUUAGCAGUAAAAUUGAUCAUAUUAACAUUUACUAUCUCUUCACAUAAACACACCUAACAUAUGCUCAAAUACUAUUUACUCCAAGGACAAUGUAGGAAAAAAAUAAUUAAUUUAUUCUUAAAAUGUGAAAAAAUUAUUUACUUUGGACCAUAAAAAAAGGCAAAAAAAAAUUACUUAUUUUCGACAUGUAGGAGUAGUUUUAUUUUUUAUUUUUUAAAUUCCAAGAAUCUAUUAAUAUACUGACACUGGUUACUGUCAUCUAUGACUUCGACGCUCCAGUUGUGAAAACGUUAAACUCUAAAUAAAAUCAAUAAUACUAUUGUUUAUGAACUGACUUUAAACAGCAAGGGAUGCUAGACAAUUUAUAUUAUACUUUUCACUAUGAAAUGAAUAUUAACUUAUCUCCCCAAAUUAUGAGGGUCGCUAAUAAUAAAUCACUAAUAGAAAGUAUUUGAUGAUUUAAUUUCAAUUUGUAUUUCUAUUUUGUUUGUUCAUAUGAAUUUUUGUUAUACACUUGAUUUUAUAUUAUGUAAUUUCAUGUCUACAAUUAUAUCUUUAUUUUAAAUUUUAAAUUUAUUUUUUUAAUUUCUUAUAUCUUUUGUAUCCAUUAUAAAUAGAAAAAGGUAAAUUCUACAGCAUGCAUUCAAAAAAGCAAACGGAGUAGCUUUGUGUAGAGUACCUGAUUCCUAUAUCAGAUCCAGCGUUGUGCUGGAGAUAUGCAAGCAUCUGAACCGUCUUUGCGAUUCGACAAAUAUUUGUUUUAUAGAAUGUAAUUAAUUGUAACUAUUCGGUCGGUCAUUUUGAGCAAUUGCAGUUCGCUCGGUUGUGUUGAGGGCAUGAGUAAUUCCGUAGAAAGUCGUAACGAUCCGACCGAUAGUUUUGAGCUUUUGCACUUUGAUCGCCAGUUCUCGGGCAUGACUUGCCCCGUGUGAUGUAUUAUGACCGAUAGAUCAUUGGUUUUGGUUUUCAGGAAAAUUGGAAUGAAUUUGAAGGAACGGUCUCAGUUAAAAGCUUUGAAUUUAAAAGGUUUGACCAAGAGUUAACUUGUUUGUAUAUGAACUCGGAUAAGAUUUUUAUUAUUUGGUUAGCUUCGUUGGGUGAUUUAUGAUUUAGGAGCGCGAUCAGAAUGCAUUUUUGAAGUCCGCGGAAGGAUUUGGCUUGAAUUGACAAAGUUAGUAAUCUGGCGAAUUCUGGUUGAUAGGUGAGAUUUUGAUCCGAGGGUCGAAAUAGAAUUUCGAGAUGUUGUAGCUUUGUUAUGUCAUUUUUGACGUGUGUGCAAAAUUUCAGGUCAUUCGGACGUCGUUUGAUCAGGUUUUUGAUCGAAAGAGUAAUUCGAAAGUUUUUGAAUUCUUAGUUUUGAAUCCGAGGGUGAUUCGAUGUUUUGAUGUUGUUUUGAGAGUUCCGAAGGUUGGAACAAGUUUGAAUGAUGUUACAGGGUAUGUUGGCAUAUUUGGCCAGGGUCCCAUAAGGCUCGGAUAAGUUUUGGAGGAGUUUUUGGAAGAUUUUUGUCGUUUUGAGCAUAAGCAUGUAAUGAUCCAAAGGUCCAUUUUUAGUUCUAAAGAUCAGAAUUUAAUUUCGAGACUUCCAUAAUUUUGACAAUGAAUUAUAGGAGUGAUCUGGAAAAUUUGGUUUAAUUUCAUCAAGUCGUGAUUGAAUUUUUGACGUGAAAAAUGAGUUAAUUAUUUAACGAGCGAAAUGGGUAUCACACUGAGCAAAUGAGCUCCGAAUUCAGUGUCGAUUAAAGAGCCAUGUUCAUAUUAUUAUUUGUGACUCAUAGGAAUAAGAAUCAUCGAAUUCCGAGUUUGUAUGAUGGAGUUAGAGCCUUUUUAGUGAAAUUAAAGAUUGCUGGUGCAUCAGAUCUGGUGUGGCACUUUUAGUGACUAAAUCUGGCACUUUUAGUGACCAGAUUUGGGUUUUAGCGACCAGAUUAGCUUAAUAAAGCUGCUGCAUUUUUUUGCUCAUUUAGUGUGCACCUUUUAGCGACCAAAUUUGACACUUUUAGCGGCAAGAUUUGGCUUUUAGCGAUAAGAUUCGGGUGUAUUAGUGUUGUUCUGUUUUUAUCUCAUUUUGACUUCUUUUUUUGUGAAAGAACACGGCUUGGCUUGGGGCGAUUUUUGAGCAAGAAAUUAUGGGAAAUCUUGAGGUAAGUCACUUGUGAUCGUUUCUACUCCAUAAUAUUGAAUUAUCAUCGAAUAAUCCGAUUAAAUUACAUGUUUUUGAGGUGUAAAUUGGGGAUUUGGACUUAGGGAUUUGAAAAUAAGAUUUAAAAAUUUGGAGGCCGAAUUUUUAUCGGAAUUUAGUAAUUUUGAUAUGGUUGGACUCGUGGUUGAAUGAGUUGUCGAAUUUCGUGAGUUUCGUCGAAUUUCGAAGUGUGGGCCCAGGGAUCGGGUUUGAGCAACUUUCGAAUUUUGAUGUUAAACUGGAUUUUUUCGAGUGGGCUUCGCUCCCUUAACAUAUUUUUAUAAUUGUGUACUGAUUGUGACUAGAUUUGGAGCAUCCGGAGGUCGAUUCGUGCGGGCGAGGCAUUACGGGCUACAGUUUUGACCGGAUCGAGGUGAGUAAUGAUUGUAAUGAUGUCUUGAGGGUUUGAACCCUCGAAUUGCACGACGUAGUGCUAUAUUGAGGUGAGACACGUGCUAAAUGACGAGCGCGGGGUCGUUUACUACUGGGGAUUCCCGAUUGAUAUUUUUACCGCGUAUUUGACUGAGACUUAAUUUUUAUCAUCAUGACUUGGGCUUAAUGCCAUAUUGGGAUUCAUGCCAAUUAUUUGGACUCAUUGAGAAUUUUUAUCACUAUUUUCUCACUGCUUUGACUUAUAUUUAAACUCAGUCUUGUUGACAAUUAUUGUUUUACAAACUCAAUUUUGGAACUCAAAUGAUAUUUUGGGUUGAGAACUACUGUUUUACAAAUACCCGAGGAGCUUGUGAUGAUUUUCGGAUUGAGUGAAGCCGAGGGCCAUAUGUGAGGAUAUGCUGAGUGAUAUGAGGCCGAGGGCCUGAGAUACGUUUAUAUGCCACAGGGUGGCUUGAGUGAUGUGAGGAGUCUUCAGGCCUUGUUAGUGCUCUGAGGAGGCUUUCAAGCCUUGUGAGCAAUGUGAGGAGGCUUUCAGGCCUUAUGAGUGAUGUGAGAAGCCUUUCAGUCCUUAUGUUGAUAUAGCGCUUGGGCCGUAAGGGGCCCCUUUGGAGUCUGUACACCCACAGUGAGCGCGGGUAGCUAUUAUGCCGAGUGAUUGAUACUGAGCCUGAGGGGCUGAUAUGAGUGUUGUUUUUUAGAGUGAGCCCGAGGGGCUGAUAUGAGUGACUAUGAGGUAGCCCAAGGGGCUGAUACUAGUGAUUGUAAGGUAGCCCGGGGGGUUGUUACUGCUUUGAGAUAUUGCCCGAGGGGCAAGCUUUUAUGUGCUCAUUUUGCAUACUUACUUUUCUUUUACUUGUUAUACUGUGAUAUUUGUGCCCGAUGGGCGAAUUUCUGUGUAUAUUAGCACUAAUUAUUUGAAAUUAUUUCACAACUGUUGAAAGGACUAUUUUCAAAGAAGGUUUAAAACUAAGCCAAUAGAUUUUCUAAAGAUUUCACAGUUCACAGUUUUCUCAAAAAAUUGUACAUUGCUUCUAUACAGCAUGUUGGUUGCUUUACGUGAUUUCUCAUUGUCCAGUUGUUAUUUACCUUUAUUAUUCACUGAGUUAGAGUACUCACUUUACUCCCUGUACCUUAUGUGUAGAUGCAGGUAUUUAUUCACCCGGUAGCGGGUAUUGGCUGUUUGGAAGCAGCUCUGUAGGAGUUUAGCAAGGUGACUUCCAGUGCUCACAACAUCGUUUUUCUAUGUUAUUCGUUAUUCCUGUUCAGUGUAUUUCUAGACUUGCAAAUGUAAUUACAUUCUUAUAGAAGCUCUGACUUGUGACACCCCGGUUUGGGCUGUGAUUGGUUUGUACUUUCUCUAAGUAUUGUUAUUAAAUCAUAUUUAAAAUUAUUUACUUAUGUUGAUCUAUUUUUUGAAAAAGGCAUUUUGAGUUGGUUGGCUAGCCUUGUCUUCACUAGAGGCGACAUCACGAGCGGAGUAGGGUUUGGGUCGUGAGAUAAGUAUUAUGACUUAUGUGAAUCGUCGGUUUUAGUUUUCAAGUUAUUUGGAGUUGAUUUGGAAGAAUGAUUCUCAGCUAGAAGUUUUAAAUUUGAAAGAUUUGACCAAGUUUUGACUUUUUAGAAUUUGACCUAACAUUGGAUUUUUGAUGGUUCCGUUAGCUCUGUUGGGUGAUUUUGAACUUAGGAGCGCGUCCAGAUAGUUAUUUGAAGGUCCAUAGUAGAAAUUGGCUUGAAAUAACGAAAGCUGGAAUUUUGGAAAGUUUGAUCGGGGUAUCAGGGUCGGAUUUUGAUUCCGAAAGUUGGAGUAGGUCCAUAAUGUAAAAUUUGACUUGUGUGCAAAAUUUGAGGUCAACCAGACAUGAUUUGAUAUAUUUCGGCAUUGGUUGUGGAUGUUUGAAAUUUCAAGUUCAAUGAUUUCGAAUUGAGGUGUGAUUCGUCGUUUCGAUGUUGUUAUGUGUGUUUUGAGGCCUCAAAUAGGUCUGUUUUAUGAUAUGAGACAUGUUGGUAUGUUCGAACAGGGCCCCGAGGGGCUCGGGUGAGUUUCGUAUAGUUUGGGGUUGUGUUGCACUCUUUUUUGAUGUUUCGACGUCGUUUUUCAAGCAUAAAUGGUACUACAUUAAUGAAAUGAGCGCCGAUUUCUGUUUUUAUUGAAGCAUUAGAUCUGUAUCGUAAUUAUGGAGCCAUAGCAAAAAAAAAGAAUCGUUGAAUUUGGACAUCAUAUGAGGAUUUUAUGGUCAUUUUACUAAGAAUUGGGUUGCCAGAUUUUUUCCAAAUUAAUUUUGAAAUUGCCACUGAAUUUGUAUUUAAAAAUAUGUACUAUUUUUUUGAAACCAUCAUAUCUCCUUCAAUAUAAGGUCAAAUGGAGUGAUUCAAGAGCCUAAUUUGAUUAAAAUUUUACAAAGAAUCCAUUGGAGGAUCAAAAGCGAGUUUUGGGAUUGUUUAGCAUGAUAAUCGAGGCAGAAUAGCUGGCAAAAAAAAUAUAAAAUAAGGGUUUGUUCAUUUGGUCAUAUUUUGAGUUGGGGAGCUCGGAUUUGGGCGAUUUUGGAGGAGAAUUUCACCAUAUAUAUUGGGGUAAGUGUUCUCUACUUGAUUUCGGUGAUAUUUCAUGAAUCCAUCUUUGUUUAUGGCAUUUGAUUGAUGUUUUCAAAGUAAAAAUUUGGAGGGUUUUGCCUAAAGUUUCAUAAAGUGAAUUUUUAAGUUUGGGGAGGAUGUGACAACCCGACCCAUCGUCUUUUGUAUUUCAGCCCCGUUAUCCCCGUCUAUGCAUCCGCGUGUGUUGAUAUAUUUGGUGAAUUUGAAGUGUGUUGGGUUGAAUUUGGUUAGAAAUGAGACCAAUAGUCUCUUUAAGGAAAGCUUACAUCAAUCCUAAAACAUAAUUGUAUCUAACAUGUAUUUGGUACAUUACUACCCAAAAUAAUACUUCAUGUAUCUCUGUCCCAUUUUUCCCGCUUUAUGAUUCUUCAUGUGUCAUUAUAUGUGCUUGCUGAGUUUGAAGUGUUUCAGAUUGAAUUUGGAUAAAAAUGAGACAAAUAGUCUCUUUAAGGAAAGCUUAAGUUGGAAAAUUCAACCGGACGUUGACUUGUGAGUUAGAGGGCUCGGAAUGGAUUUUCGAUGAUUCAACUAGUUUCGGGGUAUAAUUUGUGACUUGGGAGCGAAAUCAGAAUUUAAUUUGGAGGUCCGGUGUGGAAUUAUGCUUGAAUCGGCUAAGUUCGAAUUUUGGCAAAUUCUGGUUGAUAGGUAAGAAUUUAAUCCGAGGGUUGGAAUGGAAUUUUGAGAGUUGUAGCAGCUUUGUUAGGUGAUUUUGGAUAUGUCUGCAAAUUUUCAGGUUAUUCGGACGUCGUUUGGUUGGGUUUUGGAUCGAAUGCGAAUUUGGAAAAGUUCUAGCUUGACUUAGGCUUGAAUUUAAGGAAUUUGGUGAUUUUUUAUGUUAAUGUUAGUGUUUUUAUGGCCUGAUCAAGUUUGAAUGAGGUAAUUGGUCAUGUUGGUGCCUUUGGUUGAGGUCCGGGGGCCUCGGGGUGAUUUCAGAGGGUUAACCGGGCUAUUUUUGGACUUGGAAGAAUGUUGGUGCACAACUGUUGGUGUGGCAGACCACAAAGCAUCACGUUUGUGGGGUGGUGGACACGAACACGUAGAGGGAAUCUGGGUGCCUGGGAUUUUUGCCUUCGCGUUCGCGAUGGAGAGGCCACGACAGCGUAGUAGAGGAGUCUUCUUGAUCGCGUUCGUGUGAUAAGGUGACGCGUUCAUGUAGGCCAGUGGAGUGGGCCAUCGCGUUCGCAUUGUGAGGGUCGCGUUCGCAUAUGAGGGCCUGGGAGCAACAUUAGAUAAAGCAUCGCUUCGCGUGACUAGGGUCGCGAACGCGAUGAAGGGAUUUCUGGACGGACAUAAGGGUUUAUAAACAUCUUCCCCGCGAGCUUAUAUCAUUUUCCUCCAUUUUUUAGCACAUUUUGGAGUUAUUGGACGAGGGAGUAAGAUGAUUUCACCUAGGUUUCGACUUGAGGUAAGAUUUAUGAGCUAAUUACAUGAUUUUAUUUGAGAAUCAUCAUCGAAAUCUCUGAAAAUAUGGUGGAAAUUGGAAUAUUUAGGGUGUGGUUUUUGGUGUUGAAAAUUGGGAAUUUGAAGGGGCUAUUGGACUCCGAUUUUGACGAACCUUAUAUGUACGGACUCGUGGAGAGACAAGGGUUUUAAAGAAUUUUGUAAUUUUUCGAGAACCGGGCUCGGGGCUCGGGUUUUUCCAACUUUGUGUUUUUGGGUGUAUUUCGGGUUAUUUCAAUUGGGCUAUGUUCCAUUAGUCUAUACUGACAUAUUCCUAUUGGUUUUGACCAGAUUUGGCAUCCGCGGAGGUUGAUUCUCAAGGGAAAGGCAUUGCGAGCUAGUUUGCGGCCGGCUUGAGGUGAGUAAUGGGGGUGGAUGAUGACCCGAGGGUUUGAAACUCUGGUAUAUCACAUUGUGACGCUAUUAUCAGGCUAGACACGCACUCCAUGGCUUGUGCGGGGUUGUAUAUGUUUGGAAAUAGUGACUCGGUCCAAUCCGAGGGAUAUAUUUUACUAUGUUGGCGAUUGCUUCGCAUACUAUAUUGAUGAUAUCUGGGCUUGAUGCCAUGUUUGGGAGGGAUAUAUUUUACUAUGUUGGCGAUUGCUUCGCAUACUAUAUUGAUGAUAUCUGGGCUUGAUGCCAUGUUUGGGGCCUUGUGCCGACUUGUGGAAUCCAUCAGGGAUCGUUAUCUCAGAAUUUUCAUGAUUUGCAUAUUACUUGAAUUCAGUCCAGGUUUAAAUAUUAUUUUUGCAAACUCAGCCAUAUUUAUGCGUUUUGAAAAUUCAAAUGAUUUUUAAAUGAUAAUUCGGGCUGAUGAGUACUAUCUCACUAUUUCUGGACUAUAAAUGAUUUUAAAUGGAAAUGGUGGUAACUAUUGGCACCGUGUAUUUUAAUUGGAAACGGUGGUAACUAUGGGCAUCGUGUAUUAUAAAUAAACGGUGGUAACUAUUGGCACAGUGUAUUGUAAUGGAAGCAGUGGUAAGUAUUAACAUUGUAUGAUAUGGCGCUUGGGCUGUAGGAGUCCCUCCGGAGUCUGAACCCCCACAGUGAGUGUGGGUACCUAUAUGGAUCGGGCUGCACGUUCCACAGUGUUCAUGCAUUGCAUUGCAUCCCAUACAUUUACUUAAUUUUUCUUAUUCUGUAUAUCUCUGAGACAUGUACUGUAUAGAACUGCUAGACAGCUUCAUUUUUUAUUGUUUCUUGUUUUUUUAUCUUCGGGUUUUUAUACAUGCUUAUUACUCGCCGAGUUGGUAGACUCACCCCAUGCUCCCUGCACAGAGGUCUAGCGUUGUUGCUGUUGCUUAUCCAGUUGCCGGAGUAUCGAGGUAGGUUCCAGCGUCCGCAGGACCGAUCAUUCUGAUCUUACCAGUUGUUUCUAUUAUUUGGAUACAUGUAUCUUUCCUUUAAGACUUGUAUUGGGUAUUGUUAGAGGCUCUGUAAUCGUGACCCUAAAUCUUGGGAGUUCUUGUUCAAUCGUGGUUUCGUAUUCGUACAAUUAAAAUUUUCCAGUUAUUUGGAGUUUAUUGUUAUAGUUGCCAUAUUUUUCCUUACUUGUUUCGUGUUUGGCUGAAUAGUUGUAUUUGAGAAUGUGUUGGUCAGGCUUGCCCAUCCUUACGGCCGGGCGCCAUCACGAUCGGGUUUGGGUCGUGACAAGUUGGUAUCAGAGCCUAGGUUGCUCGGCCUCACGAGUUAUGAGCCGGUUUAGUAGAGUCUCGCGGAUCGGUAUGUAGACGUCCUUAUCAUAUCCUCGAGGGGCUACAGAACUUAUAGGAAACACUUCACUUUCUUGGAAUUCUUAUCAUGCGGCUUUGUUGAUUUGAGAACUGAAACUUCUUAUUCAAUUCUCUCGCAUAUGGCGAGAACCUGUGCUACCGGACAUGGCGGACGUCCCCCAUUUCCACCAACUAGAGGCCGUGGUAGAGCAGCAGGGGCAGUACCAGUUGACUAUCGGACGUGGCGGUCGACCCCCAUUGCCACCAGCUAGAGGCCGUGGAUGCGGUCGUGGCCGUGGUCGUGGUAGAGUAGCAGGGGAAUUACCAGUUGACCCACAUGUUGCUCUUGUUCAGGAUCAACCCCCAGUUGUUGAGGCUCCAGCAGCACCUACUCAGGCACCGGCAGUGCCCAUUGUGAUACCUGGUCCCCAGGAGACGUUGGCUUAGAUCUUAUCCGUUUGCACCGGGUUAGCUCAGGUGGUAUCAGCUACCACUGCAGCGGAUGCAUCUCAGACCGGGGGUGGUUAUCAGACCCCCGCAGCUCGCACUCCAGAGCAGGGUGCACAGGGUUUGCAGACCCCAGAGGGACCACCAGCUUAGCCAGUUGCCCCUGUUCAGCCAAUUGUUCUAGUUCAGGGUGAUGGGGUACCAGUGAUGCCAGAUUACGAGCAGCGUCGUCUGGAGAGGUUCGACAGACUUUCACCUCCGACCUUUAGCGAUGUUCUAGGCGAGGAUGCCCAGGGUUUUCUUGACAAGUGUCGACGCAUGCUCAAGACAGAAGGGAUUUUGGAGACUAGUGGGGUAUCUUUUACCACUUUUCAGUUCUCAGGAGCAGCCUUCACNNNNNNNNNNNNNNNNNNNNNNNNNNNNNNNNNNNNNNNNNNNNNNNNNNNNNNNNNNNNNNNNNNNNNNNNNNNNNNNNNNNNNNNNNNNNNNNNNNNNNNNNNNNNNNNNNNNNNNNNNNNNNNNNNNNNNNNNNNNNNNNNNNNNNNNNNNNNNNNNNNNNNNNNNNNNNNNNNNNNNNNNNNNNNNNNNNNNNNNNNNNNNNNNNNNNNNNNNNNNNNNNNNNNNNNNNNNNNNNNNUGCGGAUCGGGAGAGGGUCCUGAGUCAUACCUUCGAGGAGGCGGUGGAUAUAGCUCACGAUAUUGGGACGGCUCGCCGUCAGGAGCGAGAGGAGAGGGAGUCCAAGAGGCCUCGAGGUUCAGUCAUUUAUGGCGGAGCUCCAUCUAGGGGCCAGUUUCAUCAGGGCAGAGGUCGUUCUUUUAGACCUCCUCAGUCAGGCCGCCCAGAGUAUAGCGGAGCUUCUUCCAGUCGUGGCCGUCAUGGUCACCAGCAGGUGCCCUCCCAGAUCAGAUUUCUGCACCCACUUUGUCAGCCCAGGGUUCAUCUGCGGCGAGGGGUUCCCUUCAGUCCCCUUCUCCAGUUUUAGUCUGUUGAUUUAAGUGUGGGGAGUUUGGUCAUGUGAAGAGACAUUGUCCUCGACUUCGUUGUGGUAGGUUUCAGUAGAGGGAUUAGUCCUCCUCUUCUUCUUCAUCUGUUUCAGCACCACCCCAGUCUAGUAGGGGUGGGGUUCAGUCAUCUAGAGGCCGCCCCAGGAGGGAUGAGCGAUCGAGCAGUAGUCAGGCUCGUUUCUAUGCACUCCCAGAUAGGAGAGAUGUUGUUGCUUCAGAUGCAAUGAUCACAGGUAUUAUCUCAGUUUUCCACAGGGAUGCUUCUGUUUUGUUUGAUCCCGAGUCUACAUAUUCUUAUGUAUUUGCUUACUUUGCUCAUCAUUUGGGGACUACCCAAGGGUGUAUAGCAUUUCCUGUGCAUGUAUCUACCCUGGUGGGUGAUAUUAUUAUUGUGUACCACGUGUAUCUGUCCUGUCUUGUUACCAUUGAGAGUCUGGAGACCCGAGCCGACUUGCUGCUAUUGAGCAUGGUAGAUUUUGAUGUUAUUCUGGGCAUGGAUUGUCUAUCACCGUGCCAUGCUAUUCUAGAAUGUCACGCCAAGACAGUUAUAUUGGCUAUGCCGGGUAUCCCGAGGGUUGUCUGGUGUGGUUCGACGGAUUAUGUACCAGCAGGGUAAUCUCUUUCUUGAAAGCCCAGCGGAUGGUUGGGAAAGAAUGUUUAUCAUAUCUAGCAUUUGGCAGGGAUGUUGGAGAUGAGACUCCUAGUCUUGAUUCGGUUCUCGUGGUGAGGGAGCUUCCUGAUGUCUCAAUUGUCUCAAUUGUCAGCAGGUCAAAUAUGAGCAUCAGAGAUCCGGUGGUGUACUUCAGCAGAUGGAUAUUCCGGAGUGGAAAUGGGAAAAGAUUACUAUGGACUUUGUGUGUGGUCUCCCUUGUACCUCGAGGAACUUUGAUUCUAAUUGGGUGAUUGUGGAUAGGCUGACCAAAUCUGCGCAUUUCAUUCCGGUGUGUACCACUUAUUCUUCGGAGCGGUUAAGAGAUUUUCAUCUGUGAGAUUAUGCGGUUGUAUGGGGUCCCGGUUUCUAUUGUCUCAGACAGGGGUACUCAGUUUUCCUCCCAGUUUUGGAGGACUUUUCAUCGGGAGUUGGGCACUCAGAUUCAGAUGAGCACAUCUUUUCAUUCUCAGACGGACGGACAGUCAGAGCGUACUAUUCAGAUAUUGGAGGACAUGUUGCGUGCUUGUGUUAUUUAUUUCAGAGGUUCUUGUACUGAGUUCUUGCCGCUUGCAGAGUGUGCUUAUAACAAUAAUUAUCAGUCCAGCAUUCAGAUGGCGCCGCAUGAGGCUUUAUAUGGGAGACAAUGUAGAUCUCUAGUCGGUUGGUUUGAGCCCGACGAGCCUAGACUAUUGGGGACAAAGUUAGUUCAGGGUGCCUUGGAGAAAGUGAAAGUUAUCCAGGAGAGACUUCGUACGGCUCAGUCGCGUCAGAAGCGUUAUGCGGACCGGAAGAUUCGGGAUGUAUCUUAUGUGGUGGGCGAGAAGGUUCUGUUGAAGGUCUCGCCUAUAAAAGGCGUGAUGAGGUUUGGAAAGACAGGGAAGCUGAGUCUGCGGUUUAUUGGACCUUUUGAGAUACUCAGGAGUAUUGGGGAGGGUGCCUAUAUGCUUGCCUUGCCACCCAACUUGUUGGGGGUUCACCCGGUGUUUCAUGUUUCCAUGCUCAGGAAGUAUGUUGGGGACCCCUCUCAUGUAUUAGACUUCAGCGCGAUUAAGUUGGAUGAGGACUUGACCUAUGAUGUGGGGCCAGUGGCUAUUUUGGGUCGUCAGGUUCGAAAGUUGAGAUCAAAGGGCAUAGCUUCAGUAAAGGUGCAAUGGAGAGGUCGGCUCGUGAGGAGGCCACUUGGGAGACCAAGCAGGAGAUGCGGAGCAGAUAUCCUCAUUUGUUUGAGGCUCCAGGUAUGUUUCUUGACCCACUCGAGUAUGAGCGUUUGUUUUAGUUGGGGAGGAUGUGACGACCCGACCCGUUGUCUUUUGUAUUUCAGCCCUGUUAUCCCCAUACUAUGCUUUCGCGUGUGUUGAUAUAUGUGUUGGUGAGUUUGAAGUGUGUUGGAUUGAAUUUGGUUAGAAAUGAGACCAAUAGUCUCUUUAAGGAAUGCUUAAGUUGGAAAAGUCAACCAUACAUUGACUUGUGAGUUAGAGGGCUCGGAAUGGUUCCGAUGAUUCGACUAGUUUCGGUGGAUGAUUUGUGACUUGGGAGCGAAAUCAGAAUUUAAUUUGGAGGUCCGGUGUAGAAUUAGGCUUGAAUUAGCUAAAUUCGAAUUUUGGCAAAUUACGAUUGAUAGGUGAGAAUUUGAUCCGAGGGUCGAAAUGGAAUUCCGAUAGUUGCAGUAGCUUCGUUAGGUGAUUUUGGAUAUGUCUGCAAAUUUUCAGGUCAUUUGGACGUUGUUUGGUUGGGUUUUGGAUGGAAUGCGAAUUUGGAAAAGUUCUAGUUUGACAUAGGCUUGAAUUUGAGGAAUUAUGGUGAUUUUUUAUGUUAAUGUUAGUGUUUUUAUUGCCCGAGCAAGUUUGAAUGAGGUACUUGUUAAUGUUGGUGCAUUUGGUUGAGGUCCCGAGGGCCUCGGGGUUAUUUCAGAGGGUUAACCGGGCUAUUUUUGGACUUGGAAGAAUGCUAGUGCACAACUGUUGGUGUUGCAGACCACAAGGCAUCGCGUUCGCGGGGUGGUGAACGCAAACGCGUAGAGGGAAUCUGGGAGCCUGGGAUUUUUCCUUCGCGUUCGCGAAGGAGAGGCUGAAAUCGCGUAGUAGAGGAGUCUUCUUGAUCGCAUUCGCGUGAUAAGGUGAUGCGUUCGCGUAGGCUAGGCGAGUGGGCCAUCGCGUUCGCAUUGUGAGGGUCGCGUUCGCGUAUGAGGGCCUGGGAGCGAGAUCAGAUAAAGCAUCGCGUUCGCAUUACUAGGGUCGCGAACGCGAUGAAGGGAUUUUUGGACGGACAGAAGGGUUUAUAAACAUCUCCUCCGCGAGCUUAUAUCAUUUUCCUCCAUUUUUGAGCACAUUUUGGAGCUAUUGGGCAAGGGAGUAAGGGGAUUUCACCUAGGUUUUGACUUGAGGUAAGAUUUAUGAGCUAAUUACGUGAUUUUAUUUGAGAAUCAUCAUCUAAAUCUCUGAAAAUAGGGUGGAAGUUGGAGAAUUUAGGGCGUGUUUUUGGUGUUAAAAAUUUGGAAUUUGAAGGGGCUAUUGGAUUCCGAUUAUGACGAACCUUGUAGGUACGGACUCGUGGAGAGACGAGGAUUUUGAAAAUAUGAAUUUGUAAUUUUUCGAGAAGUGGGCCUGGGGCUUGGGUUUUGCCAACUUCGUGUUUUUGGGUGUAUUUUGAGUUAUUUCGAUUGCUCUAUGUUCCAUUAGCCUAUUUUGACAUUUUCCUAUUGGUUUUGACCAGAUUUGGCAUCCGCGGAGGUUGAUUCUCGAGGGAAAGGCAUUGCGAUCUAGUUUGCGGCCGGCUUGAGGUGAGUAAUGGGUGUGGAUGAUGACCCGAGGGUUUGAAACCCCGGUAUAUCAUAUUGUGACUCUAUUAUGAAGCUAGACACACACUGCAUGGCUAGUGCAGGUCGUAUAUGUUGGAAAUUGUAACUCGGUCCAAUCCAAGGGAUAUAUUGUACUAUGUUGGCGAUUUCUUCACAUACUAUUUUGAUGAUAUUUUGGCUUGAUGCCCUGUUUGGGGCCUUAUUCCGACUUGUGGAAUCCUUCAGGGAUCGUUAUCUCAGAAUUUUCAUGAUUUUCAUGUUACUUGAAUUCAGUCCAGGUUUAAACAUUUUUUUUGCAAACUCAGCCAUAUUUAUAUGUUUUGAAAACUCAAAUGAUUUUUAAAUGAUAAUUCGGGCUGAUGAGUACUAUCUCACUAUUUCUGGACUAUAAAUUAUUUUAAAUGAAAACGGUGGUAACUAUUGACACCGUGUAUUUUAAAUGGAAAGGGUGGUGACUAUUGGCACAGUGUAUUAUAAAUGGAAACGGUGGUAACUAUUGGCACCGUGUAUUGUAAUGGAAACAGUGGUAACUAUUAACACUGUAUGAUAUGGCGCUUGGGCUGUAGGAGUCCAUCUGGAGUCUGAACCCCCACAGUGAGCGCGGGUACCCAUAUGGAUCGGGCUGCACGUUCCGCAGUGUUCAUGCGUUGCAUUGCAUCUCAUACAUUUACUUAGCGUUGCUUAUUCUGUAUAUCUCUGAGACUAGUACUGUAUAGAACUGCUAGAUAGCUUCAUUUUGUGUUUUUUCGUAUUUUCUUAUCUUCGGGGUUUUAUACAUGCUUAUUGCUAGCUGAGUUGGUAGACUCACCCCAUACUCUCUGCACCUUGUGUGCAGAUCCAGGUGCUCCAGAGACCUAGUGUUGCUGCUGUUGAUUGCCCGAGCUAUUCAAAUACUGAGGUAGCUUCCCAGCGUUCGCAGGACCACUUACUCUGUCUCUAUCAGCCGUUGCUGCUGUUGCUUAUCUAGUUGCUGGAGUAUUGAGGUAGCUGCCAGCAUCAAUAAGAUCAAUUACUCUAAUCUUACCAGAUUUUUCUGUUAUUUAGACACAUGUAUAUUUCCUUUCAGACUUGUAUUCGGUAUUGUUAGAGGCUCUGUACUCGUGACCCCAAGCCUUGGGAGUUCUUGUUCAGUCGUGGUUUCCUAUUCGUACAAUUACAUUUUCCAGUUAUUUGGAGUUUAUUGUUAUGGUUGCCAUAUUUUUCCUUACUUGCUUCGUGUUUGGCUGUAUCAUUGUAUUUGAGAAGGUUUUGGUCGGGCUUGCCCAGCCUUAUGGCCGGGCGCCAUCAUGACCGGGUUUGGGUCGUGACAGAACAUCGAUUCAGAGUCAGAAUUGGAUGAAACUAGUAUGGUUAGACUCAUAAUUGAAUGGGUUUCCGAAUUUUACGAGUUUUAUCGGGUCCGAUAUGUGAGCUCGGGUUGGGCUUUUUCGCAGAAUUUGGGCUUUUGAUUAAAGAUUCUACCUUUUUAAUUGGGAUUGGUUGCUUUAGCGUUGUUUGAUGCAUUUGUGUUGUUUUUGGUUAGUUUCUAGCCGUUCGGAGGUCAGAACACGCGAGAUGGCAUUUUUGGAGCAUUGCUUGGCUUGCUCGAUAUUGGAAUUGGCUUGAUUGAGGUAAGUAAUGAUUGUAAAUAUUGUCCCGAGGGUAUGAAACCCCAAAUUUCACAUUGUUGUGCUACUUUAAGGGACACACACGCUUGAUGACGAGCGUAGGGUCGUGCACCGCUGGGAAUUAUGACUUAGUUCGUCCCAUAUAACCGCUAAGUUGCAUAUUUGAUUAAAAACUGUUUGAUUUCAUUGUGUUUUUGGAAAUUAUUACGAGGAGGAGUUGGUAGCUGUUCUAGACCAGCAGAUUCGUCACUUGAGAUCGAAUAGUUUCCCUUCCGUUGGUGUUUAGUGGAGAGGUCAGCCUGCUGAGGCAUCGACCUAGGAGUCCAAGUCCGAUAAGCGGAGCCAUUAUCCUCAUAUUUUUUCCAACUUAGGUACUUCCCUUUUAUAUCCAUUCGAGGACGAACAGUUGUUUUAGAGGUAGAGAAUGUGAUGACCCAAAAGGUCAUCAUUUGUGUUGCAAGUAAAUUCAGUGUUCCGAGGCCUAAAAACCUCCUUUUUAUCUCACCUUGAUUUGCAUGCGUGGUCCGAACCCAUAUCCCAAAAGCCUUCUACGUGAAAAGAUGAGAAAUAGAAAUUUUUAGAGUUAAUAAUUUAAUUUUGGUUGACUUUGGUCAAAAUUUUGAGAAACGAACCAGGAUCCAUUUUCCGACGAUCCCGGGAGGUCUGGAGUAAAAUAUGAGACUUGGGCGUAUGCCCGGAAAUGACUUCCGAGGUCCCAAGCCUUAGAAAUUAAUUUUUGAAAGAAAUUAUUUUACAGAAUUAUCGAAGAAAUGAAGAAAAUAAUUAAUGUUUGAAACCAUUAGUAUCGGGCCCCUAUUUUGGUUUCGGAGCUCGGUACAAACGUGUUAUAGUAUUUAAAAGACAACUGUGAAACUUUUUGAAGAACGUAGUUUAUUUGACAUGAGUUGGACUACCGGCUGAAGAGUUAUGAACUUUGAGUAUUCUUGAUGAAAAUGUUGAGUUUUGAGGUUUAAUUCAUGGUUUUACAUGUUAUUUUGAUGAUGUGAUCGCACGAGUAGGUCCAUAUGAUGUUUUUGAGCUAGUAUGCACUUUUGCUUUGACGUCCCGAGGGCUCGGGUGAGUUUCGAAUAGGGUCCGGGAUAUAUUAGACGUAAAAUAUGGUUGUUGUAUGUUUAGAGAAGUUGCGGAACUCUGAUCUGCCAGUGCGGUCCACAAGGAUUUGUGCUCUCCGCGGUGAGGGGCUUUGCGGUCGCACUCGAUUUUGUACGAUUUGCGAUGAGGAAGAAUCUGCAGGUUCAGUAGUCUGAAAUAUUUUUGAGUUAGUAUGCUCUUUGGUUUGAAGUAUCAAGGGCUCGGGUGAGUUUCGGGUAGGUUCUGGAAUAUUUUAGGCUUAAAAAUAGAUGUUUCAGAUCACUGAACCUGCCAGUGCUGACCGCACUGAUUUUGUGCUGACCGCUCUGAUUUUGUGCUGACCGCGGAGGGGCCUUUGCGGCCACACUACUGUUCGCGGUGAGGAAGAACUUCACUGGUCUGAUAUAGGAAGCUUAUAUCUUUUGAUAUACAAGGAAUUUUGAGAUGAUUUUAAAAAGAAAAUUGUAGCCCUUCGUGUCUAGUUUCCAGAGAGGUAAAGAAAUAAGAAUUUGGACGUAUAUAGAGAAAGUUAUAGCCAAAAUACUAAAGCAUGUCACUGCAGUCAAUAUUGUGAGCUCCUCGGCCGCACUCCUUUUUGUGCGGUCCGCACAGGGGGUCUAAGAGGGGUAUAUUUAAAUGGGGUUUUUAAUUAUUUUUUUAAAAAUCCUAAAAACAUAAGAGGAGAUUUUUCAAACAACCUUCCUUCUCCACAACAUUAGUAAGUGAUUUCUAACUCAUUUUCUUUAUUCCCUUAACUUCUUUUUACAAGAUUUCAUCCUAGAAUCUAGGAUUUUCAUGGUGGAAUUGGGAAUUUUGGGUAAAACCUAAGAAUAUUGAAAUUUGGGGAUUUAGACCUCAAAUUGAGGUCGGAUUCCAAAACCAAUUAUAUAUCCGGGCAUGGGGGUGAAUGGGUAAUUAGAUUUUAGUUUGAAUAUCGGGUUUGGACCAAGCGGACCCGAGGUCGAUUUUUGACUUUUUUGGAAAAAACUUUAGAAAACCUAUUUUCAUGCAUUAGGAUUGAUUCAUUUAGCAUUUAUUGAUGUAAUUAAGUAACUUGUUGCUAGAUACGAGCGAGUUGGUAGUGGAAUCAAGCGUUAAAGUGAUAGUUGAGGCUUGAGUUGUGUUCAUGACAUCGAGGUAAGUGUUUGGUCUAACCUUAGCCUGAGGGAUUAGGAGUUGUGUCUUAUUUUCUAUGUGCUAGUUAUGGAGUACGGCCUAUAGGCAUGGUGAAGAGUAUCUAUACGUUGGUGUCAAGCAUGCCCGUGAGUCUUGUAUUGUAAUUGUUAUGAUUCCGUUGAGAUUUAUUGUGCUUCAUAUGAGGAUUAUUAUUAUUGUUCCUUUACCGGAAUGUUGUUGUCAUAUUGUUGUUCCUGGUAUAUUGUUGUUAUAUUAUUGUUCCUUUGCUGGGAUGUUACUGUUAUAACAUUAUUCCCUUGUCGGAAUAUUAUUCUUAUAUUAUUAUUCCCUUGUCGAGAUUCUGUUAUGAUUGGUAUUGAUAAAUAAAAAGGGAGCGGGUUGCACGCCGGCAACGGAAAUAUAUGAAAUGGGAGCGGGUUGCACGCAUGCAACGGUAAAUAUAUGAAAUGGGAGCGGGUUGCACGAAUGCAACAGUAAUUAUAUGAAAUGGGAGCGGGUUGCACGCCUGCAAAGGUGCAAUAUGAAAUGGGAGCGGGUUGCAAACCUGCAACGGUACUAUAUGAGAUGGGAUCGGGUUGCACGCCUGCAACGGUAUUACAUGUGUACUUGUUGUUCUUAUUUCCUUAUCUUUGCUGGUAAUUAAUUCAUAGAAAUCCUUACAUUUCUCUACUAUUGUUAUGUUGUUAUCUAUUACUCCCUGCAUGUUUCCCCGUCCAAUUUUUGUUGUAAUUAUCUUCUUCUAUUUUCGCUGUAUAUGGUUUAAGUGUACAUGUUAUUUGGUAGUCUGGUCCUAGCCUUGUCAUUAGUUCGUCGAGGUUAGGCUAGGCACUUACUUGCACAUGGGGUCAGUUGUGCUGAUACUAUACUUUGUACUCUUUUAUGCAGAUCCCAGUGCUAUAGAUUUUGGACCGCAGUGAGAUUGCUGUUUCUUGUUCAUCAGGCGACCUGAAGUAGUCCUGCAGGCAUCCGCAUGCCUUGGCGUCUCCUUCUAUCUACGAUUCCUGUUUCUUUCAUGUAUUUUCAGAUACAAUGUUGUAUUUAUUUCUUUCAGACCUUUAUUUGUAGUACUCCUAGACAGUCUGUGAAGUUAUGACACCAGUCUUGGAUAGAUUUGUUAUGGAUUGAUAUUAGCAGUAUUAUUAAGACUUUACAAUGUAACCUUCCGCUUAUUCAAUUCUGUUGUUAUCUAUUUGUUGGCUCUUAACUGUUAUCGAAUUAAAAAUGAAAAUAAGGUAAACAGUUUAGUUGGUUGGCUUGCCUAGCUUUCACUAGUACGCGCCAUCACGACUCUUGAGUGUAGGAAAUUCGGGUCGUGACAACUGUUUUGGAAAUGUACUGCAUUUGCUGUAGCGUUAUGACUGGCUUACGUGUUUUCUUACUGCUUAGUCUUUAUUUAAUUGUAUUACUUACUGAGUUGGCAUGCUCAUAUUACUCCCUGCACCUUGUGUGCAGAUUUAGGUAUUUCUGAACCCGGUAGCGGGUAUUGAUUACUUAGUGGCAGGUUCAUCGGAGUUAACAAGGUAGCUAUCCGGCGAUCAUAGCGCUGUUUUUGUCCCUCCUUAUCCUCCCUUAGUUGUAUUCAGUUAUUUCCAGGCUAUGUUAGUCUUGAUGUUGUCAGACGGUUGCAGUAGAUUUUCAGGACUAGUGAUAACAUAAUGUCGGGCUUGUGUAAUUAUUUUGCACUGUUCAUUUAGACUUACAUUAUGAGAUAUUUGAUUAAUUAAAGGCUUAAAAUGAUUUUGAUUGAAUAAGGGUUAAUUCGGGAGCUGUGUCGGCUGGUCUAUUUUCACGAUAGGCGUCAUCACGACCGAAUUGAUUUUAGGGUCGUGAACAAUGAUUAAUAAUAUACAUAUGCAAUUUAGUUUUAAUGAAAAAAAUUUAUUUAGGGUAAAAUCACCUGAUCAUAUCAAGUUGUGUGCGCACUUUAAAUCCCUUCUUGAUAGUUCCCAUAGCAUAUAAUUGAUGCAUGUAUUUGUCCUGAAAAUCUUUGUCCUCCUUUUUCAAUUUUUCCAGCUGCCGCGCUUAAAAAUAACGGUUAGAUGCGUAAAACAAGAAUUUGUAAGUUAAAAGAUUAUACGUUUUGUGAUGCUUUUCAAUACUUACGAUCGAAACCUGAAAUUAUGACCAUGAUUCCAUGGGGACCGGGUCUGUAAAUUAAUUAAU